rnacentral:rRNA from 1 species
AGAGCGACGUUUGGCAGUGUGUCUAAAGCAUGCAAGUCGAACGGCAGCAGGCCAUAUAGCAAUAUAUGGUGCUGGCGAGUGGCGAACUGGUGAGUAACGCGUAAGAAUCUACCCUCUGGUGGGGGAUAACUCAUGGAAACAUGAGCUAAUACCGCAUGAAACCGAACCCAUAGUGAUAUGAGCUUGGUAAAAGGAGAAAUCCGCCAGUGGAUGAGCUUGCGUCCCAUUAGCUAGUUGGUAGGGUAAGAGCCUACCAAGGCGAUGAUGGGUAGCUGGCCUGAGAGGGUGGUCAGCCACACUGGGACUGAGAUACGGCCCAGACUCCUACGGGAGGCAGCAGCUAAGAAUCUUCCUCAAUGGGGGAAACCCUGAAGGAGCGACACUGCGUGCAGGAUGAAGGCCCUUUGGGUUGUAAACUGCUUUUGUAGGGGAGAAAUAACCGAAUGGGAUGAUAGUACCCUACGAAUAAGUCCCGGCUAACUACGUGCCAGCAGCCGCGGUAAAACGUAAGGGGCGAACGUUGCUCGGAAUUACUGGGCGUAAAGGGCCGGUAGGUGGCUUUAUAAGUCAGUUGUCAAAUACCCAUGCUCAACGUGGGAGAGGCGACUGAUACUGUAGAGCUUGAGUAGAGGAGGGGAUGACGGAAUACCCGGUGUAGGGGUGAAAUCUGUUGAUAUCGGGUAGAACACCGAUGGCGAAAGCGGUCAUCUAGCCUCAUACUGACACUCAACGGCGAAAGCCAGGGGAGCGAACGGGAUUAGAUACCCCGGUAGUCCUGGCCAUAAACGAUGCAUGCUAGGUAUUGGCACCGCGUUGGUGAUAGUACCGUAGCUUAUGCGUUAAGCAUGCCGCCUGGGGAGUAUGCUCGCAAGAGUGAAACUCAAAGGAAUUGACGG